rnacentral:rRNA from 1 species
UACAGAGGUCCCAAGCGUUGUUCGGAUUCACUGGGCGUAAAGGGUGCGUAGGCGGUCGGGUAAGUCUGAUGUGAAAUCUCCAAGCCUAACUUGGAAACUGCGUUGGAUACUAUCCGGCUCGAGGAAUGGAGGGGAGACUGGAAUACUUGGUGUAGCAGUGAAAUGCGUAGAUAUCAAGUGGAACACCAGUGGCGAAGGCGGCAUCCUGGACCAACACUGACACUGAGGAGCGAAAGCCAGGGGAGCAAACGGG